UACGUAGGCAGCAAGCGUUGUUCGGAAUUACUGGGCGUAAAGAGUGUGUAGGCGGUGCUCCAAGUUUGGUGUGAAAUCUCCCGGCUUAACCGGGAGGGUGCGCCGAAAACUGGGGGGCUCGAGUGUGGGAGAGGAAAGCGGAAUUCCCGGUGUAGCGGUGAAAUGCGUAGAUAUUCGGAAGAACACCAGUGGCGAAGGCGACUCACUGGACACGUAUUGACGCUGAGGUGCGAAAGCGUGGGGAGCAAACAGG
rnacentral:rRNA from 1 species